GACCUAACCCCCCCCCCCCGCUGCCCUGGCUUUAGAGCCGCGCCAGGGAUGGAUGGACGGACGCUGAGCACACAAGAGUACCUGCCCCUUUAAGGCUGCAGUCCUCACCAAAGCACUGCAACCCUAAACCAUCCGAAGUCAAUCAGGAUCGAUGCCACAUCCUCAUACUGCAAAGAGCCACUGAAUAGAAUCAGAAAACAUCCCAGCCAGUUAAAAGGACGAGUAGAAAAUCCAUGCUGAUAUUGGCUGGGAAAGAAGCAGACACACACACACUGGUAUAAUUAGGAAAAGGAGUCUCGCUUCUCACUACACCAGAAGGUUCUUCAUGGAAAUAAACAGGGAGCAAUCCUCAUUACGUGUUGAUUCAAGUCCCUAUGUCAAACCAGUUUACCAAUAGAAAACAGACAUAUUCAUCAAAAACAUUUUUGCAGUUAAAAUUAGUAAUGUGUAUAUUUCUUUUUUUACAUGCGAGGUGGUAUUUGUGCUGCUGUUUCUGACACGUUAUAUAACCAUAAAACGAGAUGAAAAUACAGCUGGUCUUUUCUUCAGAAAGUGUAUUUAUAGCUUGUUUGAAUAAUAUAUUCCUGUUAAUAGGAAGGUAAGACCUAGGGAAGAGCUUAUUCUAUUUUCUACAACAUGGCUUCAAAAUGAUGUGAUCUAUUCUAUUAACCGAAACAGUUCAAGUAGUGUGAACAAUUCAAAGUAAAUAACAGGUCAAUCUAAAUUAAAAAAAAACAAAUUUCUAUUUGUAAAGCCUUCCCCCCCCCCAACAUGGAAUUUGAGUUAUCUAUUGGUCUAGAUCAGGCAUGUCCAACAGGUAGAUCACAAUCUACUGGUAGAUCACAGGGUGUUCCUGGUAGGUCCUGGUAGAUAUUUGGCCCCUCAGUGAUCUCCCCCCCCCAAAAAAAAUUGCAGUCUAUUGGGAGUUGGACGUCCCUGGUCUAGAUGGACAUCUAGCCUUUAAAACCAAGGCUGGUGGUUUUACUGGAAGCAAGGUGAGGUGUAUAUAGUGAGGCAUCAUAUAGCAUACUGUAACUUGCUGUAAAGAAUUGGUAGGAAUAGCUUUUGUAUGCAAAGAGAGAGGCAACAAGAACUGAUUUUACAAAAAACUUAUUAUCUUACUUUGCCAACCUAUGUAAAUAAAAGUUAAUGGGUGCUUCCCUCUGUUCUA